rnacentral:rRNA from 1 species
UACGGAGGAUCCAAGCGUUGUCCGGAUUUAUUGGGUUUAAAGGGUGCGUAGGCGGAUCUUUAAGUCAGUGGUGAAAGCCUGCAGCUUAACUGUAGAACUGCCAUUGAAACUGAAGAUCUUGAAUAUGGUUAAAGUAAGCGGAAUGUAUCAUGUAGCGGUGAAAUGCUUAGAUAUGAUACAGAACACCGAUAGCGAAGGCAGCUUGCUGAGCCAUUAUUGACGCUGAGGCACGAAAGCGUGGGGAGCAAACAGGAUUAGAUACCCUGGUAGUCCACGCCCUAAACGUUGAUUACUCGUUGUUGGCGAUAUACUGUCAGCGACUAAGCUAAAGCGUUAAGUAAUCCACCUGGGAAGUACGACCGCAAGGUUG